rnacentral:rRNA from 1 species
UAAACUAGGAUUAGAUACCCUAUUAUAUUUAAAUUACCAAGGUAGUAAUAAUUAACUAAACCUAUAUAUCUUGGCGGCAUUUUAUCUAACUAGAGGAAUAUGUCUAAUAAUCGAAAACACACGAUAAAUUUCACUUUUUAAUAAAUUUUAUAUACCGCCGCUUAAAUAUAAAUUAAAAUUUCUCAAUUUUAAUAAUAUUAUAACAAAUUAGGUAAUGGUGUAAACAAUAAAUCAGAUAAGAUGUAUUACAAUAAAAUUAAUUUAAGGCAAUUAACUUAAAAAAAAAAUAAAAAGAGGAUUUAAAAGUAAUAUUUAAAUAAUAAUAAAAUGCGAAUAAGAAAAUAAAUGUGCACACAUCGCCCGUCGCUCUA